UACGGAGGGGGCGAGCGUUAUUCGGAAUUAUUGGGCGUAAAGAGCUCGUAGGCGGUUUGUCGCGUCUGCCGUGAAAGUCCGGGGCUCAACUCCGGAUCUGCGGUGGGUACGGGCAGACUAGAGUGAUGUAGGGGGAGACUGGAAUUCCUGGUGUAGCGGUGAAAUGCGCAGAUAUCAGGAGGAACACCGAUGGCGAAGGCAGAUCUCUGGGCCGUAACUGACGCUGAGGAGCGAAAGCGUGGGGAGCAAACAGG
rnacentral:rRNA from 1 species